rnacentral:lncRNA from 1 species
ACCAUCUUCUUUAGUUUCGUUGACUUUGUCUUAGGUUGUUCCCAAUUAUUGUCCACUGCUGAUAACUUGUAUGAUCUCAGGAAAAUCUGCCUUUUCUUGGCCCGGUCUCGCCUGUAAGUUAAGGAAGCCACCAUACUUCCAGCUCCUCUCUUGGAAAACGUCCUAAAUUGACCAAUAUUUUCUUCCCUUGUUUCGUUGUUUUGAUCCAAGAUCUCGUAGCCAUCAACUCUAUGACUAAAAUUAGAUGUGGCAUUUCGGACAAGAGUGUUCAUGGCUACCAAACUAGCAACUCUGCAACUGCGAGAUAGUGUAUGGAAGAUGAUCAAUCUUGGUGGUAUCGUCAUAUAUAGGAAAGGGUCGUUUUCAAUACG